rnacentral:snRNA from 1 species
UCGCUUCAGCAGCACAUAUAUUAAACUUGGAACGAUACAGAAAAGAUUAGCAUGGCCCCUGUGCAAAGAUGACACGCAAAUUCAUGAAACGUUCCAUAUUAAA